rfam:Rickettsiales bacterium (ex Bugula neritina AB1) isolate AB1-6 AB836_contig000002, whole genome shotgun sequence.
AUUUUUUAGAGUUUGAUCCUGGCUCAGAAUAAACGUUAACGGCACUUAUUAGACAUGCAAGUCGAACGGUUUAAUGACAAGAAGCUUGCUUUGGAAGGUUAAACCGUGGCAAACGGGUGAGUAACACGUGGGAACCUGCCUUGAAGUUGGGUAUAAUUUAUAGAAAUAUAAUUGUAAUUCUCUAAUAGUUCUCGAAAGGGUAAAGGAUUAAGGGUAAUAUCUUAAUUCGCUUCAAGAUGGUCCUGCGGCAAUUAAUGCUAGUUGGUGGGGUAAAUGCCUACCAAGGUUGGAUUGUAGCUGGUCUGAGAGGAUGAUCAGCCACACUGGAACUGAGACACGGUCCAGGCCCCUACGGGGGGCAGCAGUCAAGAAUAUUGGACAAUGAGGGAAACCUUGAUCCAGAGAUGCCGUGUGAGUGAUGAAGGCCUUUGGGUUGUAAAGCUCUGUCGUCAGGGAAGAAAUAAAAUGACAGUACCUGAAGAGGAAGUACCGGCUAACUCUGUGCCAGCAGCCGCGGUAAUACAGAGGGUACUAACGUUAUUCGGAAUUAUUGGGCAUAAAGGGUGCGUAGGCGGUUUUUUAAGUCAGUUGCGAAAUUCUGAAGCUUAACUUCAGCGCUGUAAUUGAUACUGGAAAACUAGAGUAUGGGAGAGGUAAAUGGAAUUUGUCGUAGAGGGGUUAAAUCCGUACAUGACAGAGAACGCCAGAAGCGAAAGCGAUUUACUGGAACAGCACUGACGCUGAGGCACGAAAGCGCGGGGAGCAAACAGGAUUAGAUACCCUGGUAGUCCGCUGCUGUAAACGAUGAGGACUAGACAUUGGAUAUUACUUUCAGUGUCGCAGCUAAUGCGUUAAGUCCUCCGCCUGGGGAGUAUAACCGCAAGGUCGAAACUUAAAGGAAUUGACGGGGAUUAGAACAAUUGGUGGAUCAUGUGGUUUAAUUCGAAGGUACACGAAAACCUUACCAGCUUUUGACAUGUUGAUUGUAGGAUAAGGAAACUUAUCUGUCGGCCCUUUUGGGUGUCGGAUCAAACACAGGUGUUGCAUGGCCGUCGUCAGCUCGUGUCGUGAGAUGUUUGGUUAAGUCCAAUAACGAGCGCAACCCUUAUCUCUAGUUGCUAACAGGUAAUGCUGAGUUCUUUAGAGAGACUGACAGUGUAAACUGUAGGAAGGCGAGGAUGAAGUCAGGUCCUUAUGACCCUUAUGGGCUGGGCUACACAUGUGAUACAAUGGUAACUACAAGGAGAAGCAAGUGAGUGAUCACAAGUAUUAUAAAUCUCUUAAAAGUUAUCUCAGUUCGGAUUGGUCUCUGCAACUCGAGACCAUGAAGUCGGAAUCAAUAGUAAUCAGUGGAUCAGCAACGCCACGGUGAAUACGUUCUCUAAUCUUGUACACACCGCCCGUCGCGCCAUGAAAGUUCGUUUACACUUGAAGGGGGGCUAUUUUAGAAAUAAAAAUGUGCUUCACUAUAGUGGGGUGAAUGAUUGGGGCUAAGUCGUAACAAGGUAGCCGUAGGGGAAUCUGCGGCUGGAAUACCUCCUUU